rnacentral:tRNA from 1 species
UCUCCGGUAGCUCAGCGGUGGAGCACUCGGCUGUUAACCGAUAGGUCACUGGUUCAAAUCCAGUCCGGAGAGCCA